AUUGAACGCUGGCGGCAGGCCUAACACAUGCAAGUCGAACGGUAACGCGGGGCAACCUGGCGACGUGUGGCGAACGGGUGAGUAAUGUAUCGGAACGUGCCCAGUCGUGGGGGAUAACGGCUCGCAACAGCAGCUAAUACCGCAUACGACCUCAGGGUGAAAGCGGGGGAUCGCAAGCCCUCGCGCAGUUCGACCCGCCGGCAGCAGAUUAGGUAGCUGGUGGGGUAAAGGCUCACAAAGCCAACGAUCUGUAGCUGGUCUGAGAGGACGACAAGCCACACUGGGGCUGAGGCACGGCCCAGACUCCUACGGGAGGCAGCAGUGGGGAAUUUUGGACAAUGGGCGCAAGCCUGAUCCAGCCAUGCCGCGUGCGGGAAGAAGGCCUUCGGGUUGUAGACCGCUUUUGUCAGGGAAGAAAAGACUCCUGUUAAUACCGGGGGUUCAGGACGGUACCUGAAGAAUAAGCACCGGCUAACUACGUGACAGCAGCCGCCGCGG
rnacentral:rRNA from 1 species